rnacentral:rRNA from 1 species
GAUUUCUGGUGUGACAUGCUUAGCCCGCCAUGAUUUCAUGUGUGAGUGUGGAGCUGUGUCUGCCAUCCUUCUAGUAGAGGUAAUUACUCUUCAUUGAGUUGAUUACAUUCUCUAGAUCAUUUACUUUGAAAAAAUUAGAGUGUUUCAAGCAGGCGUAAUGCUAUGAAUACAUUAGCAUGGAAUAAUAAGUUAGGACUUCGGUUCUCGUUUGUUGGUUUUCGCAGAGCGGAAGUAAUGAUUGAGAGGGAUAGUUGGGGGUGCUAGUAUUCAGUGGCCAGAGGUGAAAUUCUCGGAUUCCCUGAAGACUAACUUAUGCGAAAGCAUU